AGGAAAGUGGCCCAGCUGAUUUGAGUUCUUCAUAACAGGGAAUGUGCUACAUGCAUAAGAGUGAUUGGAAAAUACUUAUGUCAAAAGCAAUUCUGCAUAAGGAAAAAGGCAAUGUUUAUUUCAACAGGGUCUGGACUUCAACAGAUUUCCAGCUCCUCAGCUCUUUUUUUUUUGUGUACCGGAAGUAUGGAACUUUCCCUCUUAAUAGGCUGAUUCGGUAGGAAUUAUUAACAUCUCAAGAUUUUUGUUGGAUAAGCAUAUCAAGGAAUGUGGAACAAAGGCUCUUUGAAUCAAAAAGAAACCAGAACAUAAUUAUAUUCCGGGCACAAAGUCUUGCAGGACAUGAUCACGGCUCAUGAACUUUACAUUACUGGGGAGAUUCUGUGAUUCAGGAUCAUUUCCUGGCUUUGGACCAGUUGAAUAAGGUAAGGCAAUUUCAUCCUGUUCAGGAGUCUGUGGUAGGAAGUCAUCAACCAAAAGACUAAGAAUAUACCAGAAGAAAUGACCGAGGGAUGUGAGAAAUUUGAAAAACUAGCUCAAGUAAG